AGUUUCGUCGUCAAAAGGGAAACAGCCCAGAUCUACGACUAAGGUCCCGAAAUCACAGUUAAGUGGAAAAGGAUGUGCAGUUGCACAGACAACCAGGAUGUUGGCUUAGAAGCAGCCACUCAUUUAAAGAGUGCGUAAUAGCUCACUGGUCGAGUGAUUGUGCGCCGAAAAUGUACCGGGGCUAAACUGUGUACCGAAGUCUAGGGAUCGUGAUAAACGAUCGGUAGGGGAGCAACGUGUGCGGGCUGAAGCCGAAGCGGAAGCGACGGUGGACUGCACGGGAGAGAGAAUGCCGGCAUGAGUAGCGAGAGCAAAGUGAGAAUCUUUGCCGUCGAAAGCCUAAGGUUUCCUGAGGAAGGCUCGUCCUCUCAGGGUAAGUCAGGACCUAAGCCGAGGACAAAAGUCGUAGGCGAUGGACAACUGGUUGAUAUUCCAGUACCACCUUUAGCGUUUGACUGAAGCAGUGACACAGAAGGAUAGACAGAGCGCGUGACUGGUAGAGCGCGUCCAAGCGAUGAGGGAGUUAAGUAGUGAAGAACGCUUAACAAUCCUGGGUCGUGAUGGGGACUGAAAAUAAGUAGGGAAGCUGUUGAAUUCACGCUGGCGAGAAAAGCUGCUAAGGAGCGAAAGGGUGCCUGUACCGCAAACCGACACAGGUAGGCGAGGAGAGAAUCCUAAGACGAGCGGGAGAACCCAUGUUAAGGAACUCGGCAAAAUGACCCUGUAACUUCGGGAUAAAGGGAGCCACGAGAGUGGCCGCAGAGAAUAGGCCCAAGCGACUGUUUACCAAAAACACAGGUCUGUGCGAAGUAGAGAUACGACGUAUACGGGCUGACGCCUGCCCAGUGCCGGAAGGUUAAGGGGAAGUGUUAGGGCAACCGAAGCACGGAACUUAAGCCCCGGUGAACGGCGGCCGUAACUAUAACGGUCCUAAGGUAGCGAAAUUCCUUGUCGGGUAAGUUCCGACCCGCACGAAUGGCGUAACGACUUGGGCACUGUCUCAACAUGGGACCCGGCGAAAUUGUAGUAUGUGUGAAGAUGCACAUUACCCGCGAUAGGACGGAAAGACCCCGUAGAGCUUUACUGUAGUUUAACAUUGGAUUUCGGUAACAUAUGUACAGGAUAGGUGGGAGGCGAAGAACCAGGGACGCCAGUUUCUGGGGAGCCGACCUUGGGAUACCACUCUUGUGUUAUUGGAGUUCUAACGAAUUGCCGUGAACCGGGAUUCGGACAGUGUUAGAUGGGCAGUUUGACUGGGGCGGUCGCCUCCUAAAGAGUAACGGAGGCGUCCAAAGGUUCCCUCAGAAUGGUUGGAAACCAUUCGCAGAGUGUAAAGGCAGAAGGGAGCUUGACUGCGAGACCGACAGGUCGAGCAGGUGCGAAAGCAGGGCUUAGUGAUCCGGCGGUAUGAGAGUGGAAUUGCCGUCGCUCAACGGAUAAAAGCUACCUCGGGGAUAACAGGCUUAUCUCCCCCAAGAGUCCACAUCGACGGGGAGGUUUGGCACCUCGAUGUCGGCUCGUCGCAUCCUGGGGCUGGAUUAGGUCCCAAGGGUUUGGCUGUUCGCCAAUUAAAGCGGCACGCGAGCUGGGUUCAGAACGUCGUGAGACAGUUCGGUCCCUAUCCAUCGUGGGCGCAGGAGAUUUGAGAGGAGCUGUCCCUAGUACGAGAGGACCAGGAUGGACGCACCAAGGGUGAAUCAGUUGUUCUGCCAAGAGCAUAGCUGGGUAGCCAAGUGCGGAUCGGAUAAACGCUGAAGGCAUCUAAGCGUGAAGCCGACCUCAAGAUAAGAUCUCCCACCAGAAAUGGGUAAGACCCCUGGAAGACUACCAGGUUGA
rnacentral:rRNA from 1 species